CCUGGGAACUGCGUUNUGAACUGGGUGACUAGAGUGUGUCAGAGGGAGGUAGAAUUCCACGUGUAGCAGUGAAAUGCGUAGAGAUGUGGAGGAAUACCGAUGGCGAAGGCAGCCUCCUGGGAUAACACUGACGUUCAUGCUNGAAAGCGUGGGUAGCAAACAGGAUUAGAUACCCUGGUAGUCCACGCCCUAAACGAUGUCAAUUAGCUGUUGGGCAACAUGAUUGCUUAGUAGCGUAGCUAACGCGUGAAAUUGACCGCCUGGGGAGUACGGUCGCAAGAUUAAAACUCAAAGGAAUUGACGGGGACCCGCACAAGCGGUGGAUGAUGUGGAUUAAUUCGAUGCAACGCGAAGAACCUUACCUGGUCUUGACAUGUACGGAAUCCUCCAGAGACGGAGGAGUGCCUUCGGGAGCCGUAACACAGGUGCUGCAUGGCUGUCGUCAGCUCGUGUCGUGAGAUGUUGGGUUAAGUCCCGCAACGAGCGCAACCCUUGUCAUUAGUUGCCAUCAUUUAGUUGGGCACUCUAAUGAGACUGCCGGUGACAAGCCGGAGGAAGGUGGGGAUGACGUCAAGUCCUCAUGGCCCUUAUGACCAGGGCUUCACACGUCAUACAAUGGUCGGUACAGAGGGUAGCCAAGCCGCGAGGUGGAGCCAAUCUCACAAAACCGAUCGUAGUCCGGAUUGCACUCUGCAACUCGAGUGCAUGAAGUCGGAAUCGCUAGUAAUCGCAGGUCAGCAUACUGCGGUGAAUACGUUCCCGGGUCUUGUACACACCGCCCGUCACACCAUGGGAGUGGGGGAUACCAGAAGUAGGUAGGGUAACCGCAAGGAGCC
rnacentral:rRNA from 1 species